UAGUGUAAAUAGUUAACACGCUCAGCUGCUAACUGAAAGGUUGGAGGUUCAAGUCCACC
rnacentral:tRNA from 1 species